ACAGAAUUGGGCCUGCGGUCUGCUUUCUCCUGAGGACAUCAAGUCAGUGCAUGAAUAUUUUCUCGCGCCACAGUACAAGCUCUCUAACCUCAUAAGGGGUUAGAAACGCCUAGAGGGGAGCUGGAGGAGAGAGACUACAUGCAGAUAGCGAUCUGCGAUUAUGAAACUCAGUCCAUCAACAGACUCGCUUCCAUUGAUUUUUCUUCUCACUUCCAUCACCGCCAUCUGCCCUCCCACCCUAGACCCCAGAGCACAGGAAACCUCUUGUGAGCACACGAAUGUGCAGAGGGGUAAGAGGUUGUCUUUUUUUUUUUUUUUUUGUGCAACAUGAGUUUUGGUAAAAUGUGUGUCUAGAAGUUGAGAUGUAUUUCUUAGCACAAAUUAUUAUAUACCACUUAGAAACAAAGAAUCGUGGUUAAGAGCAUUUUUUUAGGAAUGAACACUGCUUUAGAAUCAAUUUUAAUGACAGUCAUCUGAUUAAGAAGGCAUACGCUCAGUCCAGAAAUCAAUCCGAAUAAUCAUAAAAAAUAUUUCAGCAAUCACAAAUCCUGUAAUAAUAGAAUUUCUACCCUCACAUUCAUUAUGACUUGAUGACUCAUUAUCUCAAAGUCAUCCAUACUAACCUUCACAAAAG
rnacentral:lncRNA from 1 species